UGGGGAAUAUUGCACAAUGGGGGAAACCCUGAUGCAGCGACGCCGCGUGAGCGAAGAAGGCUUUCGAGUCGUAAAGCUCUGUCCUAUGAGAAGAUAAUGACGGUAUCAUAGGAGGAAGCCCUGGCUAAAUACGUGCCAGCAGCCGCGGUAAUACGUAUGGGGCAAGCGUUGUCCGGAAUUAUUGGGCGUAAAGCGCGCGCAGGUGGUUUAGAAAGUCUGAUGUGAAAGCCCACGGCUCAACCGUGGAGGGUCAUUGGAAACUAAUAAACUUGAGUGCAGGAGAGAAAAGUGGAAUUCCUAGUGUAGCGGUGAAAUGCGUAGAGAUUAGGAGGAACACCGGUGGCGAAAGCGGCUUUUUGGCCUGCAACUGACACUGAGGCGCGAAAGCGUGGGGAGCAAACAGG
rnacentral:rRNA from 1 species